rnacentral:rRNA from 1 species
UACGGAGGGGGCUAGCGUUGUUCGGAAUUACUGGCGUAAAGCGCGCGUAGGCGGAUCUGCAAGUCAGGGGUGAAAUCCUGGAGCUCAACUCCAGAACUGCCUUUGAUACUGGCGAUCUUGAGUCCGGGAGAGGUGAGUGGAACUGCGAGUGUAGAGGUGAAAUUCGUAGAUAUUCGCAAGAACACCAGUGGCGAAGGCGGCUCACUGGCCCGGUACUGACGCUGAGGUGCGAAAGCGUGGGGAGCAAACAGG